rnacentral:rRNA from 1 species
UACGUAGGGAGCAAGCGUUGUUCGGAUUUACUGGGCGUAAAGGGCGCGUAGGCGGCAAUUCAAGUCAUCUGUGAAAUCUCCGGGCUUAACUCGGAACGGUCAGAUGAUACUGCUUUGCUAGAGUGCAGAAGGGGCAAUCGGAAUUCUCGGUGUAGCGGUGAAAUGCGUAGAUAUCGGGAGGAACACCUGUGGCGAAGGCGGCCCCCUGGUUGGAUACUGACGCUGAUACGCGAAAGCGUGGGGAGCAAACAGG